ACUAAUAAAAAAUCACUAUACAUGCGUUAUAACAAGGUAAUAGUAAUUCAGUGAAUAGAGCUUGUACAGGGCAUAAACACCUAUUUGACCAAUAAUCGAUGUGUAUUGGUUAAAUAACAAAACGACCCAUAUUUAUUGUUACCCUGGCAACCCGCCGUGUUUGAUUGACGUUUGAUUUAAUAAUUCUGAUACAACGCAUAAUUCUAAUCUAAUAGAAUCUCAAAAACCUCAGACAAAGAGGACUAGAAUUUUACAUAAAAAGCCGCGUUCUGCAGUACAAAAGUUAGAAGAGGAUAGUAUCAAUGUGAUAGAGAAAGGACUAUUUCAUUCAAAACCCCUCAACGAUCAUACUUAAAUUUUUUAGGCAUCUCAAAUAGUGGAAAGUGCCAAACUCCGCUACACGGUAUAGUGUUCCAGUGUUUGCAGGAAGAGGAAACACAUGAGCUCAAACAGAAGCAACUUGCCGAAGCUCACGAAAGGGCUAGACAGGAGCAUCUUCUAAGGCUCAAAUUGUUACAGCAGCAAUUAAAUGAAUAAUUAUAUACUUAUAAAAAAAAUAAAACCCCUGUUUUAAAUGAAA